UACGAAGGGGGCGAGCGUUGUUCGGAUUUACUGGGCGUAAAGGGCGCGUAGGCGGCCCCUCAAGUCAGACGUGAAAUCCCUCGGCUUAACCGGGGAACUGCGUCUGAUACUGGAUGGCUUGAGUUCGGGAGAGGGAUGCGGAAUUCCAGGUGUAGCGGUGAAAUGCGUAGAUAUCUGGAGGAACACCGGUGGCGAAGGCGGCAUCCUGGACCGACACUGACACUGAGGAGCGAAAGCCAGGGGAGCAAACGGG
rnacentral:rRNA from 1 species